rnacentral:misc_RNA from 1 species
GAUGAAGAACGCAGCGAAUUGCGAUAAGUAAUGUGAAUUGCAGAAUUCAGUGAAUCAUCGAAUCUUUGAACGCACCUUGCGCCCUUUGGACUUCUGAAGGGCAUGCCUGUUUGAGUAUCAUGAACACCUCAACUCCUUAUGGUCUUCCAUGAUGAGCUUGGACUUUGGGGGUUUUGCUGGCCUACAGUCAGCUCCUCUAAAAUAAAUCAGCUUACCGGUGUUUGGUGGGUAUCAUGGGUGUGAUAACUAUCUACGCUCGUGGUUUUCCACCAGGUAACCUUCAGCAGUGGAGGUUCACUGGAGCUCAUAGAUGUCUCUCCUCAGCGAGGACAGCCCUUUGAAUGUUUGAUCUCAAAUCAGGUAGGACUACCCGCUGAACUUAAGCAUAUCAAUAAGCGGAGGA